AGAACGAACGCUGGCGGCAGGCCUCAAACAUGCAAGUCUAGGGGGUGUAGCAAUACAUCACCGGCGGACGGGUGCGUAACGCGUGGGAAUGUACCUAUUGGUUCGGAACAACUGAGGGAAACUUCAGCUAAUACCGGAUGAGCCCGAAAGGGGAAAGAUUUCUCGCCAAUAGAUCAGCCCGCGUCCGAUUAGCUAGUUGGUGGGGUUAAAGCCUACCAAGGCGACGAUCGGUAGCUGUUCUGAGAGGAAGAUCAGCCACACUGGGACUGAGACACGGCCCAGACUCCUACGGGAGGCAGCAGUUGGGAAUCUUGGACAAUGGGGGAAACCCUGAUCCAGCCAUGCCGCGUGAGUGAUGAAGGCCUUCGGGUUGUAAAACUCUUUCGACGGGACGAUAAUGACGGUACCCGUAGAAGAAGCUCCGGCUAACUUCGUGCCAGCAGCCGC
rnacentral:rRNA from 1 species